CCUACGGGUGGCAGCAGUGAGGAAUAUUGGUCAAUGGGCGGAAGCCUGAACCAGCCAAGUAGCGUGCAGGAUGACGGCCCUACGGGUUGUAAACUGCUGUUAUACGGGAAUAACGCGCCUUACGUGUAGGGCUUUGCAUGUACCGUAUGAAUAAGGACCGGCUAAUUCCGUGCCAGCAGCCGCGGUAAUACGGAAGGUCCGGGGGUUAUCCGGAUUUAUUGGGGUUAAAGGGAGCGUAGGCCGCAUGUCAAGUGUGCUGUGAAAUGGCCGGGGUCAACCCGGGCCUUGCAGCGCGAACUGGCGUGCGUGAGUCCGCGGAAAGCAGGCGGAACCCGUCGUGUAGCGGUGAAAUGCUUAGAUAUGACGAAGAACCCCGAGUGCGAAGGCAGCUUGCUGCAGCGGAACUGACGCUGAUGCUCGAAAGCGCGGGUAUCGAACAGGAUUAGAUACCCUAGUAGUC
rnacentral:rRNA from 1 species